CAGAGCCGAAGCAGAAGGCUCACGUGGACCUGCGCAGCAAGCUGGCCACCAGACCACCAGCUCCGGCUGAGAGGCCGCACAGGCAGAAGAUAGUCUUCGAACAUAAAGAGGAACGCAAAAAAGACAAAUCUCCGGCUCGAAGGACCGUAGUAUCGAGUUCUACUAAGUCUGAAGAACAUCAGGAAAAGAAAAGCAAUAAG